rnacentral:rRNA from 1 species
UACGAAGGGGGCUAGCGUUGCUCGGAAUUACUGGGCGUAAAGCGCGUGUAGGCGGGUCUUUAAGUCAGGGGUGAAAUGCCAAGGCUCAACCUUGGAACUGCCUUUGAUACUGGAGACCUUGAGUCCGGGAGAGGUGAGUGGAAUUGCGAGUGUAGAGGUGAAAUUCGUAGAUAUUCGCAAGAACACCAGUGGCGAAGGCGGCUCACUGGCCCGGAACUGACGCUGAGACGCGAAAAGCGUGGGGAGCAACAGGG